rnacentral:rRNA from 1 species
GACGAACGCUGGCGGCGUGCUUAACACAUGCAAGUCGAACGGAAAGGCCUCUUUCGGGGGGUACUCGAGUGGCGAACGGGUGAGUAACACGUGAGUAACCUGCCCUUGACUUUGGGAUAACUUCAGGAAACUGGGGCUAUUACCGGAUAGGAGCUCCUGCUGCAUGGUGGGGGUUGGAAAGUUUCGGCGGUUGGGGAUGGACUCGCGGCUUAUCAGCUUGUUGGUGGGGUAGUGGCUUACCAAGGCUUUGACGGGUAGCCGGCCUGAGAGGGUGACCGGCCACAUUGGGACUGAGAUACGGCCCAGACUCCUACGGGAGGCAGCAGUGGGGAAUAUUGCACAAUGGGUGGAAGCCUGAUGCAGCAACGCCGUGUGCGGGAUGACGGCCUUCGGGUUGUAAACCGCUUUCGCUCAUGACGAAGCUUUGUGUGACGGUAGUGGGUAAAGAAGCACCGGCUAACUACGUG